UUUUUAUACGCCCGUAUAAAAUACGGGACGUAUUAUGUGAAACCCCUUGGCGGGCGGGCGGGCGGCGGGCGGAAGGCAUCACUUUGUCCGGACUCUAAUUCAAAUUGUAUUCAUCCGAUCUUCACCAAACUUGGUCAGCAGUUGCAUCUAGUUGAUAUCUAGGCCAAGUUCGAAUAUGGGUCAUGCCGGGUCAAAAACUAGGUCAUAGGGUCAAUAAGUGCAUUUUCAAAGGGGCCACUUUGUCCGGACUCUAUUUCAAAUUGUAUUCAUCCGAUCUUCACCAAACUUGGUCAGCAGUUGCAUCUAGUUGAUAUAUAGGCCAAGUUCGAAUAUGGGUCAUGCCGGGUCAAAAACUAGGUCAUAGGGUCAAUUAGUGCAUUUUCAACGGCGCCACUUUGUCCGGACUCUAAUUCAAAUUGUAUUCAUCCGAUCUUCACCAAACUUGGUCAGUAGUUGCAUCUAGUUGAUAUCUAGGUCAAGUUCGAAUAUGGGCCAUGCCGGGUCAAAAACUAGGUCACGGGGUCACUUAGUGUAUUUCAAGGAUUUAGCAUGGUGUCCGCUCUCUAAUUGAAGUUGUUUUCAUCCGAUCUUCACCAAAUUUGGUCAGAAGUUGUGUCUAAAUGAUAUCCAGGUCAAGUUUAAAUAUGGGUAAUGCCGGGUCAAAAACAAGGUCAUGAGGUCAAUUAGUGCAUUUCAAGCAUUUAGCAUCACCAAACUUGGUCAGAAGUUGUAUCUAGACAAUAUCUAGGUCAAGUUCGAAUAUGGAUCAUUCUGGGUCAAAAACUAGGUCACAGGGUCACUUAGUGCAUUUCAAGAAUUGAGCAUGGUGUCCGCUCUCUAAUUGAAGUAGUUUUCAUCCAAUCUUCACAAAACUUGGUCUGAAGUUGUAUCUAGACAAUAUCUAGGUCAAGUUCGAAUAUGGGU